GGGCUUUUUACAUUUCGUCUGAAAUCGUAGUGGGUUUUCGAGAUGUUUUGUCUCAGAAGCCAAACCCUUCUCUGUGACCUUGCCUGCCCCUCCAGUCCCUCUCUGCCCGGACCUGCACUCAGGAGAGCCUAGUCCUAGACCCACAUUUCACAAUUCAGCACUUGUGGUUAACCUGCACCCCAGAAUGCCUUUCCCAAGCCCGGCACAGAGCUAAUCCUGCAACCCCUGGAAGGCAGCUCAGGCCCCUCCAAAACUCCGUUGAUGGUGCUUGCCUCCCUGUCAGACUCCAACCUUUUGGGUUGCUGUUCACUAGGCUGGCCUUGAACUUUGUGAUCUGCCUCAGCCUUCUGAGUGCUGGGAUCACAGGCGUGCGCCACUAUGCCCAGCAAUGUGGAGAACUAUUGAUCUGAGAUAUUUUAAAUAAAUGAAGACAUUUGGACUCAGAGAGAUAAGCAAUUUGCCUGAUCAUUCUGGUUUUUCUUUCUUCAACCCUGCCAGUGAGCCACAGCACCUCAAGGGGUCUGAAGGCCACUUCUUCUGAAAACUCUGACUUCCCUUGAGCCUCCAGACAUCAGGGUGACUAAAGUGGGGUGAAAGGUCUCUGUCCUCCCACUGUCUCUCCC
rnacentral:lncRNA from 1 species